rnacentral:lncRNA from 1 species
AAGAUCGAUUUAAAAAAAAGUAGAUCGUCACCGACAAAAGAAUGUUUUUGAGAGUAUUGUAUAAAAAUUUGAAGACGAUCCAUCGAUUAGUUUUUGAGAUCACCGUCUUUGAAAACCAUAUUUCGAGAAAAACGCGUUUAAAGUUUAAAGUUUAGUUCUACUAUUGUUAACAGCUAAAUUUUGCACUUUACCUCUAGUCUGCAAUUCCGGGGCCAUAUGAGAUUUCUUCGCGCGUCGCUUUCUGCGCUCGUACUUCGGCCACAUCGAUGCUCGCCCGGUCUUGAUUUUCGCAAUAUGCAGCACAAUUCUUUAAUUAUCAUUAAUAAAUAUGCGGCAGCACCUUCAUUAAAUGUACGUGCAGCAAUAUUGGCAGCAAUUUGCACAACGUGUGCACCGCUGUGCUGCACUUUUGGCGUUAUGCGCCAAAUCAGAUUGUUCAAAUUUUCGUUAACGUUUUGCGUAAAUCUACCAACGUAAAUCUCUCCAGUAAAUUAUCACUAGAAAGUUGUUCAAAUAUUGGACGAAUGACUUUAAUCACAUCAUCGUCCAGUGGCGAUUUAUGUUGAUAUUGCUCCAAAUUGAGCACUCGAACGCUCGAUUCCGUUUUACUCAACUCUUUGUAAUUCCGGCAUUUUUGCAGAUAUCAACAUAAAACUUUCAGGAUAUAUUCUCGAAACUUAAAGCUUUAAGAAAAUGUAAUAAAAAAAAUCGAUUUUUUUUACCCGCUAGGUUGGUGUAACCCUUUAACGUGCCGUCGACUUAACGUAGGUUGGUCCUUUGACACAUAUGUUUCUUCUAACUACUUAUUAUUUUCUUGUUAGUAUCUUGUAUAGAAUUCUCUUUUUUAUAUGCUUUCUCUUUCUUCUUUUUAUGUCUUCUUUUUCUUUUUAACCUAAUCUAACUUAAAACUUUUCUUCGCGCCUCGACCCGUCCAGGGUUCGAAGCUAAACUCUCUUUUAUAUUAUAAACUAUGUUUAUAUAGGUAUAUCUUUAUAUAUUAACAAUAUUUUAAUAUUUUGUAAAAUAUGUAUAAAUAAAACAUUUCACAACUAUUUAUAUAUUUCUUCUUCUAUUUUUUUUAUCUUUUAAAAGUUAUUUAUAAUUGGUCAAGUUAUAUUUUUAUGUUUACUGUUACGGAUAAUAUUUUAUGGAUGUUCUAUGAUUGGUUGAAUUGUUCUAUCUUCUAAUUCCAUUGACUAAUUCUUACGUUACGUCUUAUACUUAUGAUUACGGAAAUUAAUGUGCGAGGGCAAUAAUUCAAAUUAAUCUCUCAUUUUCAUAUGCUUCCACAUUGAAAAAAAUUACGUAUCCGAAUUAGUACAGUUAGUAUGUCUAUCAUUUCUAUCAGCUUGUGUAUAUGUAUAUGUAUAAUAACAUUGCUUUUUUGUUGCAACGUGGAGUUCAAUAUUUAUAUGUUAGUAUUAUUAGUUGUAAAAUUUUUGCUAUUACAGUUUGUAUUAUACAUAUAUAUACUACUAAAAAAAAUAGGGAACACUUUUUGUAUACCGAAUAUUUAGGCUAUUUUCAAACUGCUAUAACUCAGCAAAAAAUCAUCGUAGAAACAAAAUCCAUAAAGCGUUUUAAAGAUUGAAACUUCUUUUCUUAAACGCUUUUUGGUGAUUUUAGUUAUCUUUUUUUUCACCAACGUGGUACAAUGAUGAAGCUUGACCCGUUAAAAUAAAAAUUUUUAAUGCGAAUUUGCUGCGUUGCAUCUCGCGUGAAAAAAAUCAUAGAGUAUUUUUGUUACUUGCAUCCUAGAGCGGGAUCUUUUCCCUUUAUUUUGAGUAGUUGUUCAUUGCUGUACGAUUUUUUUUGACCGAGUUAUUGAGAUUUUAAGUAAAAAUGGUCAUUUUGACUUUCAUCGCUUGUUACUCGUAAACAAAUCAACGUACAGCGCUCAGCAAAAAAGCGUUGGAAAGCUGAAAGUUUACACUUUUAAAUGCUGUUAUUAAUUUUUUCACAGAUUUACUUUUUCUAACAACAAAUUGCGUUCAAAGUUUACGUAAAAAAUUGCAUAUUUUACGGUUUUCAUUUAGUUCAAGGUACUUCUACACACAGGUUCUUACCACACACAUUCUGGGCCAAAGCCAUUGCAAUGGCGCAUUAUAUUCGCAACAGAUGCAUCUCUAAAAGUCUGAUUCAAGGCACUCCAUAUAAGGCGUGGGACCGGUGAGAAGCCGAAUGUCGAACACUUUCGUAUCUUUGGUUCCAAGGUUUUUGUUACGGACAACGCGUCCAACAAAGGAAAGUUCCAACUCAGAGCGAUGGAUGGCAUAUUUGUGGGCUAUUCUAACGCCUAUCUAAGGCCUAUCGGGUUUGGAUUUCAAGCACAAAGAAGAUUUGCAUUUUAAGAGACGUCAAGUUCUUCGACUCCUCUGAAAAUGAGCUCGAGGACACUGCCAACCACGACAGAACGACUGCAACGAUGCGACGCCGGACGUUGUCCAUCCUACUACAACGGAAAUCGCUGUGAAUCCGGGAACAGCCGAAGACAUUAAACAUGUCGCUAUAGAUAAACCUGACGUUCCCGUAUACGAUCAAUCCGUCAGAGAAGAUGCCGACGCAGGUGUAGAGAAAGCAACGAAAAUCUACAUUUCAAAGCCCAAGCUAAAGAAAUGCUAAGAAGAAUGAUUCAUCAGAAAUCCGGUAUCGAGUUAACGUCUAAAGCCGAGAUGAUGUUAUCCCAGUUGAUUGAUGGCGACCGGGUUUGUCGACUCAACAAAGCACUCUACGGCUUUAAGGAAGCAGGGCGUCAAUGGUGACAUCUUCAUCGCAUCCAAGGAUUCAAAAUUAAGGAUCUCCGUGAAGCCAAAUACUGCUUGGAGAUCAAGAUACGUCAAGAAAAAAUGCAGAUUUGUCUAUCUCAAGCCGGUUACAUUCAUGAAAUUCUGAACAGAUUUGGCAUAAUCGAUUGCAAACUCUCUAAGACGCCAUUGAUCGUUAGGUCGAAGUUACUAAAGGAAGACGCCAACAAAAAUGGAGCAAAGACACACCCUACAAGGAACUUACUGUCGCUUUCAUGUACGUGGCAAUGGGAACACGUCCUGACAUUGUUUACUCCGUGAGCGUUCAAUACCAGUUCAACGAUUGCUAUAAGGAGUCACACUGGUCGGCCGCAAAGCGCGUGUUGAGAUAGUUGAAAGGCACCAUCAAUUAUGGUCCCAAAUACAUCAGAGACAGCGAAGGAUUGAUAGGCUAUGUCGACGCCUAUUGGGAAAACUGCAGAAUUGACAGGUCAUACACUGGUAUGGUAUUCGUUCUCGCCGGCGCCGCAAUCUCAUGGGGAUCAAGGAAGCAACGUACGGUUGUAUUGUGAUCGAAGGCCGAAUAUCUGGAACUCACCGAUGCAGCCAAGGAGGCGGUCUACCUUGUCCAGUUCUUGAAGGAAUUGAGCCUCGGAGAUUUAGCUACUGUUACCCUCUACAACAACAUGGGCGUUGCCCAUUUAGCUUAAAAUCCUAUUCAUCACGCCAGAUCAAAGCAUAUUGACAUUCGUUGUCGCUUCAUUUGUAAAGUUUUAUCCGGGGGAACGAUUCAAUUAAAAUAUCUUCUUACUGAGAAAAUGGCAGCGGAUAUGCUUACAAAGGCGCUUUCAUCACCUAAACACGAGGACUGCUGCAAAACCAUAUGGAUUGGUCCUACUGAAGAUCCAGCCAUGCAUUCACAAAAUUGAGGGAGAGUGUUAGGAAUACAAUUCCUGUGUCCUACACCAAGGUCGCAAUCAAGUAAUCUCAUUAUAUGUAUACUCUCGGUUACGUUCGUAGUCCAAUCAUUUUAGAGCGCCUGAAGCGCCACCGCGUCUACUAUCUAGUUACUUUUCUUACUCUUUGUCUACGGUCGCUAUUGCGCGCCACCCCUUCUCUAGUAGUACACAGUAAAAAAUUUUGUGUUUUCUUGUUAAAAAA